rnacentral:rRNA from 1 species
UCAGAAGUGCGAAUGCUGACAUAAGUAACGAUAAAGCGGGUGAAAAGCCCGCUCGCCGGAAGACCAAGGGUUCCUGUCCAACGUUAAUCGGGGCAGGGUGAGUCGACCCCUAAGGCGAGGCCGAAAGGCGUAGUCGAUGGGAAACAGGUUAAUAUUCCUGUACUUGGUGUUACUGCGAAGGGGGGACGGAGAAGGCUAUGUCAGCCGGGCGACGGUUGUCCCGGUUUAA